rnacentral:snRNA from 1 species
AUACUUACCUGGUAAGGGAGACACUGUCAUCACGAAGGCGGUUCACCCAGGGCGAGGCUCAGCCAUUGCACUCCGGCUGUGGUCUGUUUAUAAGUCAACUAAAGACCUCAGAGAUACAUUUCUGUCUUCUGAU